AUGGCGCUGGGGAAGAAGGGUGUGGGUCAGAGGCCGCAGCCGGCGCCCCCGCCCGUCCAUGCCCACUGGGGUGGGGUCCAUUAGACCUCCUCUAACUUCAGGGCUGUAUCGGGCCACCUUGAGGCCAAUGAAGAGGCUGUCUCACGAAAAGAAACAGAUCUGACUCCAGCAAGUACUGAGGACAAAGGCUGGCAGUUUUGGAAAGAGAAAUGCGAAGAAAUGGGAAGUUCAAUCGCAGGUUUCCCAGACACCACGAACGAGACGCCUGCCACACGGACGCGCGUGCACACACCGGGAAACCAGGGCCUGGCGGCGGGUGCGGGGGCAGCGGGCACCGCUUCGUGCAGACGCCGCCGUCCCGGGUUCCCGGGCGUCCGUUUUAAUGGACACACGACCUCCCUAAGUGUCCCUGGCGCGGACAUGCUCUCCACGUUCGACAAAACACCCGCGCUCGCCCCCUCCACUCCGCCGACCUCGGCCGAGUGUCCGCCACGUCCCAGGCACGGUGCGGCGGAGGCCACCGCCCGGCCGCUGUGUGCGCGGCGAACGCAGGACGGGCAUUUUCUGAGCAUCCAUCACGGAGCGGACACUGUGCUCGGCCCCGCGCCUUUGCUGCUCGGGGACGGUGCACCCCAUUUCCGACCCGAGGGAGCGGAGCAACGCGGCGGUGACGCUUGCGUUCCCGGCCCCGGGCAGACCCCCGCGACAAGGCGGACGGAGUAGAGGACCGCGAUCCGCUGCCCGGGAACCGUGAAACAGAGCACAACCUCCUAGAAGCGGGGCUGGCCGAGAAAACUUCAGCGGCGAUCACGCCGAGCCCCGGGGGCCGGGGUUCGCAGGGAAGACGGGCUCCCAGCCCGCCGCGGCGGAACCGCACUGCCCGGACGCCUCGCCCCUCUCGGGCAGCCGGGGAGAUGCCCGGCCGUGCUCGGUCUCCACAACCCUCCUUUUCCGCGAGCUGUACCUGCAGU